AUUGAACGCUGGCGGCAUGCCUUACACAUGCAAGUCGAACGGUAACAGGUCUUCAGAUGCUGACGAGUGGCGAACGGGUGAGUAAUACAUCGGAACGUGCCUAGUAGUGGGGGAUAACUACUCGAAAGAGUGGCUAAUACCGCAUGAGAUCUACGGAUGAAAGCAGGGGAUCGCAAGACUUUGUGCUACUAGAGCGGCCGAUGGCAGAUUAGGUAGUUGGUGGGAUAAAAGCUUACCAAGCCGACGAUCUGUAGCUGGUCUGAGAGGACGAUCAGCCACACUGUGACUGAGACACGGCCCAGACUCCUACGGGAGGCAGCAGUGGGUAAUGUUGGACAAUGGGCGAAAGCCUGAUCCAGCAAUGCCGCGUGCAGGAUGAAGGCCUUCGGGUUGUAAACUGCUUUUGUACGGAACGAAAAGCCCCGGGUUAAUACCCUGGGGUCAUGACGGUACCGUAAGAAUAAGCACCGGCUAACUACGUGCCAGCCGCCGCAGUAA
rnacentral:rRNA from 1 species